AAUACUGCGCAAUGGAGGGAACUCUGACGCAGCGACGCCGCGUGAGCGAUGAAGGUCUUCGGAUCGUAAAGCUCUGUUCUUGGGGAUGAAGGUAUUCGGACUUGUCGGUACUUUAGGAGGAAGCCCCGGCUCACUACGUGCCACCAGUCGCGGUAAUACGUAGGGUGCAAGUGUUGUCCGGAAUUAUUGGGCGUAAAGGGUGCGUAGGCGUCCUUUUAAGUCAGAUGUGAAAGCCCACGGCUUAACCGUGGGACUGAAUUUGAAACUGGAGGGCUUGAGUAUCGGAGAGGGUAGUGGAAUUCCCAGUGUAGCGGUGGAAUGCGUAGAUAUUGGGAGGAACACCAGUGGCGAAGGCGACUACCUGGACGAAAACUGACGCUGAGGCACGAAAGCUAGGGGAGCAAAC
rnacentral:rRNA from 1 species